GAUGAACGCUGGCGGCGUGCCUAAAACAUGCAAGUCGAGCGGCAACAGGCCUUCGGGUGCUGGCGAGCGGCGGACGGGUGAGUAACGCGUGGGAAUGUACCCCAAAGUGAGGAAUAAUUCCGGGAAACCGGGACUAAUACCGCAUAAUCUCUUCGGAGCAAAGCAUUAUGCGCUUUGGGAACAGCCUGCGUCUGAUUAGCUAGUUGGUGAGGUAAUGGCCCACCAAGGCGACGAUCAGUAGCUGGUUUGAGAGGAUGAUCAGCCACACUGGGACUGAGACACGGCCCAGACUCCUACGGGAGGCAGCAGUUAGGAAUUUUCCACAAUGGGGGCAACCCUGAUGGAGCGACGCCGCGUGCAGGAUGAAGGCCUUCGGGUUGUAAACUGCUUUUAUCUGUGACGAUUAUGACGGUAACGGAUGAAUAAGGGUCUGCUAACUACGUGCCAGCCGCCGCCGUAACAC
rnacentral:rRNA from 1 species